rnacentral:rRNA from 1 species
UUUCGCUUUGUGUGGUGCACAAAGAAGCGUAACGACAGCACUGAAUGACGGUUAACGGAGCGCAAGCGACGUUCAACAUACAAAGUCAAGCAGUGGAGCGCUUUGGGGUGGGGUGACUGCGUACCUUUUGUAUAAUGGGUCAGCGACUUAUAUUCUGUAGCAAGGUUAACCGAAUAGGGGAGCCGGAGGGAAACCGAGUCUUAACCGGGCGUUAAGUUGCAGGGUAUAGACCCGAAACCCGGUGAUCUAGCCAUGGGCAGGUUGAAGGUUGGGUAACACUAACUGGAGGACCGAACCGACUAAUGUUGAAAAAUUAGCGGAUGACCUGUGGCUGGGGGUGAAAGGCCAAUCAAACCGGGAGAUAGCUGGUUCUCCCCGAAAGCUAUUUAGGUAGCGCCUCGUGAAUUCAUCUCCGGGGGUAGAGCACUGUUUCGGCUAGGGGGCCAUCCCGGCUUACCAACCCGAUGCAAACUGCGAAUACCGGAGAAUGUUAUCACGGGAGACACACGGCGGGUGCUAACGUCCGUCGUGAAGAGGGAAACAACCCAGACCGCCAGCUAAGGUCCCAAAGUCAUGGUUAAGUGGGAAACGAUGUGGGAAGGCCCAGACAGCCAGGAUGUUGGCUUAGAAGCAGCCAUCAUUUAAAGAAAGCGUAAUAGCUCACUGGUCGAGUCGGCCUGCGCGGAAGAUGUAACGGGGCUAAACCAU